rnacentral:rRNA from 1 species
GAGACACGGCCCAGACUCCUACGGGAGGCAGCAGUAGGGAAUCUUCCACAAUGGACGAAAGUCUGAUGGAGCAACGCCGCGUGAGUGAAGAAGGUUUUCGGAUCGUAAAACUCUGUUGUUGGAGAAGAAUGUAUCUGAUAGUAACUGAUCAGGUAGUGACGGUAUCCAACCAGAAAGCCACGGCUAACUACGUGCCAGCAGCCGCGGUAAUACGUAGGUGGCAAGCGUUGUCCGGAUUUAUUGGGCGUAAAGCGAGCGCAGGCGGUUUCUUAAGUCUGAUGUGAAAGCCUUCGGCUCAACCGAAGAAGUGCAUCGGAAACUGGGAAACUUGAGUGCAGAAGAGGACAGUGGAACUCCAUGUGUAGCGGUGAAAUGCGUAGAUAUAUGGAAGAACACCAGUGGCGAAGGCGGCUGUCUGGUCUGUAACUGACGCUGAGGCUCGAAAGCAUGGGUAGCAAACAGGAUUAGAUACCCUGGUAGUCCAUGCCGUAAACGAUGAGUGCUAGGUGUUGGAGGGUUUCCGCCCUUCAGUGCCGCAGCUAACGCAUUAAGCACUCCGCCUGGGGAGUACGACCGCAAGGUUGAAACUCAAAGGAAUUGACGGGGGCCCGCACAAGCGGUGGAGCAUGUGGUUUAAUUCGAAGCAACGCGAAGAACCUUACCAGGUCUUGACAUCCUUUGACCACUCUAGAGAUAGAGCUUUCCCUUCGGGGACAAAGUGACAGGUGGUGCAUGGUUGUCGUCAGCUCGUGUCGUGAGAUGUUGGGUUAAGUCCCGCAACGAGCGCAACCCUUAUUACUAGUUGCCAGCAUUAAGUUGGGCACUCUAGUGAGACUGCCGGUGACAAACCGGAGGAAGGUGGGGACGACGUCAAAUCAUCAUGCCCCUUAUGACCUGGGCUACACACGUGCUACAAUGGAUGGUACAACGAGUUGCGAGACCGCGAGGUUUAGCUAAUCUCUUAAAACCAUUCUCAGUUCGGAUUGUAGGCUGCAACUCGCCUACAUGAAGCCGGAAUCGCUAGUAAUCGCGGAUCAGCAUGCCGCGGUGAAUACGUUCCCGGGCCUUGUACACACCGCCCGUCACACCAUGAGAGUUUGUAACACCCAAAGCCGGUGAGGUAACCCUUCGGGGAGCCAGCCGUCUAAGG